rnacentral:rRNA from 1 species
UGGGGAAUAUUGGACAAUGGGCGAAAGCCUGAUCCAGCCAUGCCGCGUGUGUGAAGAAGGUCUUCGGAUUGUAAAGCACUUUAAGUUGGGAGGAAGGGCAUUAACCUAAUACGUUAGUGUUUUGACGUUACCGACAGAAUAAGCACCGGCUAACUCUGUGCCAGCAGCCGCGGUAAUACAGAGGGUGCAAGCGUUAAUCGGAAUUACUGGGCGUAAAGCGCGCGUAGGUGGUUUGUUAAGUUGGAUGUGAAAUCCCCGGGCUCAACCUGGGAACUGCAUUCAAAACUGACUGACUAGAGUAUGGUAGAGGGUGGUGGAAUUUCCUGUGUAGCGGUGAAAUGCGUAGAUAUAGGAAGGA